AUUGAACGCUGGCGGAAUGCUUUACACAUGCAAGUCGAACGGCAGCACGGACUUCGGUCUGGUGGCGAGUGGCGAACGGGUGAGUAAUGUAUCGGAACGUGCCCAGUCGUGGGGGAUCACGUAGUGAAAAUUACGCUAAUACCGCAUACGAUCUAUGGAUGAAAGCGGGGGAUCGCAAGACCUCGCGCGAUUGGAGCGGACGAUAUCAGAUUAGGUAGUUGGUGGGGUAAAGGCCCACCAAGCCAACGAUCUGUAGCUGGUCUGAGAGGACGACCAGCCACACUGGAACUGAGACACGGUCCAGACUCCUACGGGAGGCAGCAGUGGGGAAUUUUGGACAAUGGGCGAAAGCCUGAUCCAGCCAUUCCGCGUGCAGGAUGAAGGCCCUCGGGUUGUAAACUGCUUUUGUACAGAACGAAAAGGUUUCUACUAAUACUAGGAACUCAUGACGGUACUGUAAGAAUAAGCACCGGCUAACUACGUGCCAGCCGCCGCGGUAA
rnacentral:rRNA from 1 species